rnacentral:rRNA from 1 species
GAUGAACGCUAGCGGGAGGCCUAACACAUGCAAGCCGAGCGGUAGAGUCUCUUCGGAGACUUGAGAGCGGCGCACGGGUGCGGAACACGUGUGCAACCUGCCUUUAUCUGGGGGAUAGCCUUUCGAAGGGAAGAUUAAUACCCCAUAAUAUACUGGAUGGCAUCAUCUGGUAUUGAAAACUCCGGUGGAUAGAGAUGGGCACGCGCAAGAUUAGAUAGUUGGUGAGGUAACGGCUCACCAAGUCAGCGAUCUUUAGGGGGCCUGAGAGGGUGAUCCCCCACACUGGUACUGGGACACGGACCAGACUCCUACGGGAGGCAGCAGUGAGGAAUAUAGGACAAUGGGUGAGAGCCUGAUCCAGCCAUCCCGCGUGAAGGACGACGGCCCUAUGGGUUGUAAACUUCUUUUGUAUAGGGAUAAACCUAGAUACGUGUAUCUAGCUGAAGGUACUAUACGAAUAAGCACCGGCUAACUCCG